GACGAACCGUGCGAACGUUAUUCGGAAUCACUGGGCUUAAAGCGCGUGUAGGCGGGCCGCCACGUCGGCUGCUGAAAUCCCCCGGCUCAACCGGGGAACGGGCACCGAUACGAGCGGCCUCGAGGGGGGUAGGGGGGUCUGGAACUUCCGGUGGAGCGGUGAAAUGCGUUGAGAUCGGAAGGAACGCCCGUGGCGAAAGCGAGGCCCUGGACCCUUACUGACGCUGAGACGCGAAAGCCAGGGGAGCGAAAGGG
rnacentral:rRNA from 1 species